rnacentral:misc_RNA from 1 species
UUGAAUUUUAAUGAAGAGUUUGGUUGUAGCUGGCCCAUUCAUUUGGGCAUGUGCACACCUUCCUCUUUCAUCCCACACACACCUGUGAACCUGUGAGACAGAGAUGGGGAAUUUACUCGCUGCUUUUUGGAAUACAAAGGCAAUAGGUUAUUGGACCCCCCCUCUGUCUACUCAAUUAAUAUAAACUCAAUUUAUUUUAAAACGAAUGUAAUGGAUGUAACACAUCUCAUAC